GACGAACGCUGGCGGCGUGCUUAACACAUGCAAGUCGAACGGCAAGGCCCUGCUUUUUUGGGGUUCUCGAGUGGCGAACGGGUGCGUAACACGUGAGUAACCUGCCCUUGACUUUGGGAUAACUUCAGGAAACUGGGGCUAAUACCGGAUCGGAGCUCCUGCUGCAUGGUGGGGGUUGGAAAUUUUCGGCGGUUGGGGAUGGACUCGCGGCUUUUCAGCUUGUUGGUGGGGUAGUUGCUUACCAAGGCUUUGACGGGUAGCCGGCAUGUGAGGGUGGACGGACAGAUUGGGACUGAGAGACGGGCAAGAGUCCUAAGGGAGGCAGAAGGGGGGAAAAUUGGACAAUGGGAGGAAGCGUGAUGCAGGAACGCCGCGGGCGGGAUGAGGGCUUUCGGGGUGUAAAAAGAUUACGCCUGUGACGAAGCGUGAGUGACGGUAAAGGGUAAAGAAGAACAGGCUAACUACGUG
rnacentral:rRNA from 1 species